rnacentral:rRNA from 1 species
GCGAGUUACGAUUUGAUGCAAGGUUAAGCAGUAAAUGUGGAGCCGUAGCGAAAGCGAGUCUGAAUAGGGCGUUUAGUAUUUGGUCGUAGACCCGAAACCAGGUGAUCUACCCUUGGUCAGGUUGAAGUUCAGGUAACACUGAAUGGAGGACCGAACCGACUUACGUUGAAAAGUGAGCGGAUGAACUGAGGGUAGCGGAGAAAUUCCAAUCGAACCUGGAGAUAGCUGGUUCUCUCCGAAAUAGCUUUAGGGCUAGCCUCAAGUGAUGAUUAUUGGAGGUAGAGCACUGUUUGGACGAGGGGCCCCUCUCGGGUUACCGAAUUCAGACAAACUCCGAAUGCCAAUUAAUUUAACUUGGGAGUCAGAACAUGGGUGAUAAGGUCCGUGUUCGAAAGGGAAACAGCCCAGACCACCAGCUAAGGUCCCAAAAUAUAUGUUAAGUGGAAAAGGAUGUGGCGUUGCCCAGACAACUAGGAUGUUGGCUUAGAAGCAGCCAUCAUUUAAAGAGUGCGUAAUAGCUCACUAGUCGAG